rnacentral:rRNA from 1 species
AUGGUCAUGAUACACCUAAAACUACAUGAGCUCCCUGCGAAACAUGUAUCGAAGCGAUGGACUAGAGCUGCAAGAGAUAUACUACCACCGGAGUAUUUGCGCUACCAAAAGGAUCGUGAGCCGCUGAAGUAUUCUUCUCGUCGACACAACACUUUGUACCUGUUGGCACUCGAUAUCGUUAAGUUAGGCGACAGUAAUGUGGAAGCGUAUGCACUUGCUAUGGAGAAAAUGCGAGAUGUCAAAGUGUUGGUCGAGCCAGUUUCCGCCGUGAGGGAUGGGCUUGGUUUGUUUGAUAGAGAGCUGGCAGCAGAUUCAGCUGGCUUUGGCGUUGGUAACAAGCACCACUUUGGCCGAACCGAGUCUGAACACACCAUUUCGCAAGGAUCAGAUGUAUUCCCAGCACCGUCGAGGAAACGACCGGCUGGGUGUCCAACAACCAGUCGUGACAAGGCUCCAUAUGAACAACCAUCAAAGAGAAGUAGAUUAUGUUCUAUAUGCAUAAUUUAG